rnacentral:rRNA from 1 species
ACGGCGAGUGAAGCGGGAAGAGCUCAUGUUGUAAAUCUCCAGCUUGCUGGCGAAUUGUAGUCUAAAGGUGCGUGCUCAGUCGUGGUCCCGGGCUAAGUCUGUUGGAAAACAGCAUCAUGGACGGUGACAAUCCGGUUCUUGCCUGGGGUCCCGCGGCGUACGAGCCGUUUCCGACGAGUCGUGUUGCUUGGGAUUGCAGCACUAAGUGGGUGGUAAAUUCCAUCUAAAGCUAAAUAUUGGUGGGAGACCGAUAGCGAACAAGUACCGUGAGGGAAAGAUGAAAAGACUUUUGAAAAGAGAGUAAAAUAGUACCUGAAACUGCUGAAAGGGAAGCGAUUGAAGUCAGUGUUGCUCCUGGUCUUUUUGCCGUCGCCCCCGUGGGGGUUGCGGCGUGGGGCCUGGAGCGUUUCAACAUGCGUUCUGUUCCGCGGGAAAUGUUCAGUGUGCUGGAACCUUCGGGGAAACGCACUGUUCUUGUCGUGGUUAGGACGGAGGACCUUUGCUCCUUUGACUGCGCGUUCCUCUCUCGGGUAUGCUGGUGUCUACUGCUUGCAGUUUUCAUUUUCAUGCUUGCGACUGUGCGUGUAUCAUGA